GCCUUUGUAGCUCAACGGUAGAGUAGCGGAGUGAAGUCCCGAAGAUGGUGGUUCAAUUCCACCCAAAGGCACAA
rnacentral:tRNA from 1 species